rnacentral:rRNA from 1 species
UGCAAGUCGAGCGGACAGAAGGGAGCUUGCUCCCGGAUGUUAGCGGCGGACGGGUGAGUAACACGUGGGUAACCUGCCUGUAAGACUGGGAUAACUCCGGGAAACCGGAGCUAAUACCGGAUAGUUCCUUGAACCGCAUGGUUCAAGGAUGAAAGACGGUUUNCGGCUGUCACUUACAGAUGGACCCGCGGCGCAUUAGCUAGUUGGUGAGGUAACGGCUCACCAAGGCGACGAUGCGUAGCCGACCUGAGAGGGUGAUCGGCCACACUGGGACUGAGACACGGCCCAGACUCCUACGGGAGGCAGCAGUAGGGAAUCUUCCGCAAUGGACGAAAGUCUGACGGAGCAACGCCGCGUGAGUGAUGAAGGUUUUCGGAUCGUAAAGCUCUGUUGUUAGGGAAGAACAAGUGCAAGAGUAACUGCUUGNCACCUUGACGGUACCUAACCAGAAAGCCACGGCUAACUACGUGCCAGCAGCCGCGGUAAUACGUAGGUGGCAAGCGUUGUCCGGAAUUAUUGGGCGUAAAGGGCUCGCAGGCGGUUUCUUAAGUCUGAUGUGAAAGCCCCCGGCUCAACCGGGGAGGGUCAUUGGAAACUGGGAAACUUGAGUGCAGAAGAGGAGAGUGGAAUUCCACGUGUAGCGGUGAAAUGCGUAGAGAUGUGGAGGAACACCAGUGGCSAAGGCGACUCUCUGGUCUGUAACUGACGCUGAGGAGCGAAAGCGUGGGGAGCGAACAGGAUUAGAUACCCUGGUAGUCCACGCCGUAAACGAUGAGUGCUAAGUGUUAGGGGGUUUCCGCCCCUUAGUGCUGCAGCUAACGCAUUAAGCACUCCGCCUGGGGAGUACGGUCGCAAGACUGAAACUCAAAGGAAUUGACGGGGGCCCGCACAAGCGGUGGAGCAUGUGGUUUAAUUCGAAGCAACGCGAAGAACCUUACCAGGUCUUGACAUCCUCUGACAACCCUAGAGAUAGGGCUUUCCCUUCGGGGACAGAGUGACAGGUGGUGCAUGGUUGUCGUCAGCUCGUGUCGUGAGAUGUUGGGUUAAGUCCCGCAACGAGCGCAACCCUUGAUCUUAGUUGCCAGCAUUCAGUUGGGCACUCUAAGGUGACUGCCGGUGACAAACCGGAGGAAGGUGGGGAUGACGUCAAAUCAUCAUGCCCCUUAUGACCUGGGCUACACACGUGCUACAAUGGACAGAACAAAGGGCUGCGAGACCGCAAGGUUUAGCCAAUCCCACAAAUCUGUUCUCAGUUCGGAUCGCAGUCUGCAACUCGACUGCGUGAAGCUGGAAUCGCUAGUAAUCGCGGAUCAGCAUGCCKCGGUGAAUACGUUCCCGGGCCUUGUACACACCGCCCGUCACACCACGAGAGUUUGCAACACCCGAAGUCGGUGAGGUAACCUUUAUGGAGCCAGCCGCCGAA